AUUUAAAUAGCUUAUAGAAUAGAGCGUGGCACUGAAGAUGCUAAAGAGGUUUUAGGACCUUUAAAUA
rnacentral:tRNA from 1 species